UAAAAAUGGUUCCUGAAGAAACUGACAGAGCAACAUACUUACAAUUCAAUUUCUUUGCAGAGACGCACGGGAAGGGUGAAUUGCAUGAGACCUUGCCACUCUUCUGAAGUACAAAUGCUAUGGACUGAAUUUGGGGUGUUAUUGGUGUUCCAGCAAUGAACUCAAAUGAGUAACACAGGUUUGCAUUCGUCAGUCAUAGACUGUGUCUACAGAGUAAGUAUAUAAAUUGGUAAUUACAUUAAUCGAAAAUGGAUAGGUACAUUUUGCCAUCCUGUUAAGUUGAAAUCUUGUGUAUCUGUAUCUGUGUGCAAAUGUUUUACAAAUAAUUAUAAAUUAAUAUGUGAGAUAAAACAAAAACAUGCAGUGGAGCCAAAGGAAUGGAUCAAUAUUUAUACUUGUGAAUUAUUAAAUAGGUGAGAUUAAUUAGGAACUGUCUAAAGUAAAUUAAUACUGAAAAC
rnacentral:lncRNA from 1 species